rnacentral:pre_miRNA from 1 species
AAUGUACUCCCUCUGUUCCGAAUUACUUGUCGCGGGUAUGAAUGUAUCUAGAUGUAUUUUAGUUCUAGAUACAUCCAUUUUUGCGACGAGUAAUUUGGAACGGAGGAAGUAUAUG